AUUGAACGCUGGCGGCAGGCCUAACACAUGCAAGUCGAACGGUAACAGGAAGAAGCUUGCUUCUUUGCUGACGAGUGGCGGACGGGUGAGAAAUGUCUGGGAAACUGCCUGAUGGAGGGGGAUAACUACUGGAAACGGUAGCUAAUACCGCAUAACGUCGCAAGACCAAAGAGGGGGACCUUCGGGCCUCUUGCCAUCGGAUGCUCCCCGCUGGGAUUAGCUAGUAGGUGGGGUAACGGCUCACCUAGGCGACGAUCCGUAGCUGGUCUGAGAGGAUGACCAGCCACACUGGAACUGAGACACGGUCCAGACUCCUACGGGAGGCAGCAGUGGGGAAUAUUGCACAAUGGGCGCAAGCCUGAUGCAGCCAUGCCGCGUGUAUGAAGAAGGCCUUCGGGUUGUAAAGUACUUUCAGCGGGGAGGAAGGGAGUAAAGUUAAUACCUUUGCUCAUUGACGUUACCCGCAGAAGAAGCACCGGCUAACUCCGUG
rnacentral:rRNA from 1 species